AAUUAUUAGGUUCGAGAAUUAUCUAGACUUGGUGGUUCAGGAGUAGCACAAAGUACAAGGAAAGUGCUGUAUAAGGUUCUUGGCAAUGAAAUUGCACAAAAAUAUUCUUGGGAUGGGGCCAAACAGAAGAGAAGUUUGAAAUCAUUGUUAGUGGCCAAAAGCAAUUUUAGACUCCAUGAAAGGUCAAUUUCAAGAGUCAAAAGAAACCGAAAUUAUCAAUACAAUUAAAAUAUGGCUUGUAAAAACAAAAGAAAGAUUAAAAAAUACAAAGAAGGGUAGACAAGAGAAUAUAGAAACAUAGACAUAGAAGAUAAUAUCAAUGUAUAUUGUUAUAUUAAAAUAUUUUUAAUUAAUAAACAUAUAUUACUCAAGUUCGUCUUUAUCCUUACCUAUUAUUUUUAACCGUUCUAUUUAUUAGUUAAUUUUUGAUUAUUACACACCAAAUUAUUUAAUUUCAGCAAAUUGUUUGUAGUGUGUCCCAGAUAUGAAUGUACUGUAUAGGUAUCCUAUAGAUUUUAAGAGAUAAAAAAAUUGCUAAAUAUGAAAAAAAA